rnacentral:lncRNA from 1 species
AAGGACAUUUUUCACUGUCUGCAAAACUGGGAAGACACAGAGGGAGAGGCAAAAGAGCCUGCUCCCUCCGGACCUGCUCUCCCCUCCCCCUCCUCCUCCUCCUCCCUCACCAGGAAAGCGACGGUGCCUCUGGGUCCUAGCUGCUCCCACUGCAGCGGCAGACCACGGAGAGCUGCCCCAGACACCUGCUGCCCUUUUCUCUCCGUGAACCUGGAGAGGAGGUUCCCCGUUGCAGUGAGCAUGAAAAACCCAGACCUGAAAGGGAGGGCGUGUUUUCACAGCACCUUCUCCUCGUCAGCCUCUUUCCAACGCUCCUGAAAACCGGCUCUGAAAAGAUCUGCUCUGUUCAGACAACGACUAACCGGGCUCCUCACCCAGAGCCCGAGGGUGAGGGAGAGGAAAACCGUGUCAUUAAGUUUGAGGGACAGGCCUUGGAGAGGCACAGAGACACAGGACCUCAGUGCGGGAUCACGAAGUCCAGACUUUCUGGUUUACAAGGGAAGCUGUUAUGGCCCAGAGAGGUUCUGCUGGCUGGGAAGUCCAAGAUCAAGAUGCUGGCCCAUUUGGGUCCCAGUGAGGAUUCCCUUCCUGGCUGGUCUGAGAUGAUACAGACUCCCCAGGUCCUGAGUGAGUACCACGACACCACGAAGGGUUGUGCAUGUGCUUGAGUCUUCUAAUUUUACUUUUUGUGGCUCUCCAGUGAAUCACAAGCUCUUUGAGAUAGUAUAAGAUGGAGGUUAGGGACGUGGGCUUUGGAAUCAGACAGAUGUGAGUUCGAAACCUGACUCUACCAGCACUGGGAACAUGGAAUUGUCACUGCCUGAUCUUGGCCCACAGACCUUGAGACUAGGUCCAGAUUUUACCACCAAACUGACCAUCCAGGGGUUCCAGGACUGGUCUCUGGACCUUUGCUUUGAAUGCUGCAGAAUUCCCAGAAGAACCCACAACUGAGAUCUGGCUGACAGGGAUGGAGCUCCAGUAACUCACCAGGGAAGACACCUGCUCCUCUUACUGCAACUGCAGGAUGAUAUAGACAGGAGUGUCCCCAGCCACUCUGAGCACACCUAACAGGUCUGCGGUUUAAGCCAGUCAAGGAAUUACCUUCAGAAGGAAGGAAGGACCGAAUGAAGGAAAGAACGAUGUGGAAACAAAGGGAAAAAGAGAAUAACAAGGAACAGAACCGCUGCCCCAGACUGAGUCUGCUCUGGUUAGUGUACCGCGUGAAUGCACUUCCAUUAUUAAAGUAAGGGGCGAAACUGCCCCUCAGGCUUGGCUAAUGGCCUGGUUAGGCCAUAAAGAAGUCAUUGCUCUCUGGGAAUAAACUGCUGCUCUUUUGAAGACAGGAGAUUCUUAGAGCGCCAGGAAUAAUCAGUAGUCACUGGUACCUGAAAAAUGAGAUUCACCUCACAUGGGAGGAAAUGAUGACUUCCUUAAGAGCCGCUUCUGUGACCGGAGAUAAAGUCUAGUGAUUGUAGAGUUUUAUGUAUUUAUGAAAUACCUGUGGCACAAAAUGCGCAGUUAUAGUGUGGUUUUACAGAGAAAACUAUAAAAUAAGUUGCCUAGGAGAAUCCACAUCCAUCCAUCCAUCCAUCCAUCCAACCAUCCAUCCAUCCAUAACGGUUAAGAGCAGGGACUCUGACCCAGACUUUUGGGUAUGAAUUUCACCUCCACUGCUUAAUAGCUGCACGACCUUGAGCAUGUCCCUUAGCCUCUUCAUGAAGUUUCCUCGUCUAUAAAAUUGGAAUAAUAUUAGUUUCCACCUCAUAGCAUUGGUCUGAGGAUUAAAUAAAUUAAUAUAUGUAAGGCUCUCAAAUAAAGCCUAGCAGAUAUAAGGAUUAUAUGUGUUAACUAUUAUUCAUUUAACUUGUAUUUAUAGAACCCCCACUAUGUACUGGGCACAGUUUUUCCUGUCAUUAAAUAUUCAUCUACAACAACAAUUUUAAUGGUUGCAUAGUAUUCUAUGAAAUAUGUAUGGAUAUCCCUUAGUACAGUGGUUCUCAAAUUUUAGCCUGCAUCAGAAUCACCUGGAGGGCGUGUUCAAGCAGAUUACUGGACCCACCCCUAGAGUCUCUGACUGAGUAGGCCUGAGGCGCUUCCUAAGAAUUUGCAUCCCUAACAAGUUCCCAGGUGCUGCUGAUGCUGUGAAUAGGGGACCAAACUUUGUCCCCUCAAAUAUACUAAGACCAAUACCUUAGUAUAUCUAAUUAAUUUAGUAGUUUUGAAUAUUUAGAUUGUUUCAGGAAGUUUCUGGGCAACCAGAAUUCUUAUCAGUCACUGACAGAUAAGUGUGAGUUAGCUUAUCAGAUAAAUGAAAAAGAUGAUUUAGACCAUCUCUAAGAUCCCUAUAUCAGAUACCUCCUAUGUAUAGCUGCAGAGCCUUUUAGCCACACCUGUGUGUUAUCCCGGCCUCUGCUGUGGGGAUCAGCUCAGGGAGAGCUCAGACCAGCUUCAUGCAGGUACAACAGCUGUGCCUCAUCGCAGGCUGCCGUCCUGCAUCUCUCAACACUCACCGCAGAGCUUCUUUGCUGAUGUCUCAGCUUGGGAUUCCUCAGAUAUCUGCAGGGCUCGCAGGUUGUGCCAUCCAGGCCGGUGCAUGCCCCACCUCCUAUAGGCUGGCACACUCCAUAAUGCAUCCUUCACGCCACCGGCCUCCGUCUCCGUGGGACCACACUUCCCAAUCAAGC